rnacentral:rRNA from 1 species
ACUCCGCAAUGCACGAAAGUGUGACGGGGCUACCCGAGUGCCGUCCGCUGAGGAUGGCUUUUCUCCGCUGUAAGGAGGCGGAGGAAUAAGGAGAGGGCAAGUCUGGUGUCAGCCGCCGCGGUAAUACCAGCUCUCCGAGUGGUAGGGAUGAUUAUUGGGCUUAAAGCGUCCGUAGCCAGCCCCUCAAGUCUCUCCGUCAAAUCCAACGAUUCAAUCGCUGGACUGCGGGAGAUACUGUAGGGCUAGGGGGCGGGAGAAGCCGACGGUAUUUCCGGGGUAGGGGUAAAAUCCAAUAAUCCCGGGAAGACCACCAGUGGCGUAGGCGGUCGGCUAGCACGCGCCCGACGGUGAGGGACGAAAGCUGGGGGAGCGAACCGGAUUAGAUACCCGGGUAGUCCCAGCCGUAAACGAUGCGGGCUAGGUGUUGGGGCGGCCACGAGCCGCUUCAGUGCCGCAGGGAAGCCAUUAAGCCCGCCGCCUGGGGAGUACGGCCGCAAGGCUGAAACUUAAAGGAAUUGGCGGGGGAGCACCACAAGGGGUGAAGCAUGCGGUUUAAUUGGAGUCAACGCCGGGAACCUUACCGGGGGCGACAGCAGAGUGAAGCCAGAUUGA